CAUUGGCCAUAACUUUUUCAAUAUUGAAGAUAGCAACUUGAUAUUUGGCAUGCAUGUGUAUCUCAUGGAGCUGAACAUUUUGAGUGGUGAAAGGUGAAGGUGAAGGUCAUCCUUCAAGGUCAAAUGUCAAAUAUAUGGCGUCUGUCCGUCCGGAAACUUUAACAUUGGCUUUAACUUUUUUAAUAUUAAUGAUAUUAAUGAAACAUGAUUCAGUUUUUUGAAAAUAAUGUAUAUUUUAGUGUUAAAAUCGCUUUGUAUUUUGAUUGAUUUUGUGGAUGUUAUGAUACGUUAAUGUACAAAAUUGGUAGCAGUUUGAAGGAAAAAUCCUUUAAAGCAUAUAUGUAUACAUUUUCAAUGUGGCACUCUUCCUUUAGUCAAAUUUGAGUUCAAUGCUAGGGGUCCCACAUUUUUCAAAAUGAAGCCUCUACAUGAACCUUAAAAAGAAAAAUACAUGAGCGGUCUGCGCCCGCAAGGCGUUGCUCUUAUUUUAUAUUGCCACCACGGGUCGAAAGAUGUCUUUUGAAGGAAGCGUUGUCGUCUCAAGCCAUGGGCACGGAGAAUAGACUUGAAACCGAACCGGAGGUAACGGCGUCGGUUAUAUAAAACGAAACGUGGAAUCGUCUGAGCGGAUUUUAAGUGUUGUCGAGAAUUACGAGCUCCAUUAGAAACCGACAUCGUCAUGGCUGGGACUUAACAGCGUACGGCACACCGUCAGUCUGUCCAAUGGUCUACUUAGUUCGGCUCCCGACGACAGUUUCCUGCGUAAUUGACUGUACCAGUGUUAAGAGAAUUUGCUAGACUUUGAUCAGUAAACUUUUGUUAAUAUUGGUUGUUUUCGGGUACAAUUUUCCAGAGUUAUUUUACAUUCAGUGAAGUUUUAUCUCUGGUUUUAACUCUGGCCUUGAAAACACCAUUUUAGGAUAACGAAUAGAAGUGAUGUAAAGGCAUAGUUUCCACGAACACACUUCCCGCUUGUCACGGGGGAUAGACAUUAUGUACUUAAAUUUCCUGCCGUUCUCGAGGGAACCUGUAUAAUACAAUGAAUCCCAGCCUUGACAUUAUUAUGCCAAACCUUUAAGGUAAUAAAUUUCGUAGUUGAA